CCUAAAAAUCCUACCCCGUCACUCCGAUUUUGUUCUCUUCUCUCUCGUCGGUCGUCUCCGCUUCGCUCUCACCGCUGCCGCGAACUCAUCUUAUCGGUCACCUCGCUACGCCGCCGCGUCUCAUUGUCUCACUUCACUGCAUCACCAGAUCUUCUCUUUCGCGUCUGAGUUAACAGGCCAGCUCGUUUUCUUUUGCUGCUGCGUGCGUGUGAAACCAAUGGCGUCAAUGGUCUCUCUCUCAAACACAAUCGGAUUCUGUGACAGCAAAACCAAGCACAAUACCCUUUUAUCAACUUCUUUAUGUAAUCUAAACUCCAGUUCAAAUAUAGUUGACAUGAAGAUACUAUUGCGGCGCAGUUGUAAAAAAGUUGGACAUGACCAAAAAUGUUUUCGACUAUAUGGCCUAUUUGGAGGGAGAAAAGAUAAUAAUGACAAAAGUUAUGAUGCACCUUCUAAGUUACUCUCUCAUAGAGCAACACCUUGUAAACAUCCAGUUUUCACUUCUCAAAGUAGUUUGUUAGGCAUCCCCAAGAAGCAAACAAAUGCAUUGAGGGUGUCAUUUUGUCCCAAAAUCGAGCUGUGUGGACCUCGUUUCUGUAACAAAUUGAAUCCUCAACAUAAACUCCCUAGGGACGUGAUUGUAAGAUCUGAGAUUACUGCAGGAGACGGCUAUUCAAUACCCGAACUGAAAUUGGAAGCAAAAGUUAGGGGAGUUUGUUUUUAUGCUGUUACUUCUUUUGCUGCUAUAUUUCUUUUUAUGUUUAUGCUGGUUGGACAUCCAUUUGUGCUCCUGUUUGAUCAUUACCGGAGAAAGUUCCAUUAUUUUGUUGCCAAAGUCUGGGCUAUGUUGACUGUGACCCCGUUUUUCAAAAUCGAAUAUGAAGGGUUGGAGAAUCUACCGCCUCCAGAUACUCCCGCCGUGUAUGUUUCUAAUCAUCAGAGUUUUCUAGACAUCUAUACUCUUCUUACUCUGGGAAGAAGUUUUAAAUUCAUAAGCAAGACUGGGAUAUUCCUUUAUCCGAUAAUUGGGUGGGCAAUGUUUCUUUUGGGUGUUAUUCCUUUGAAGCGCAUGGACAGCCGAAGCCAGAUGGACUGUCUUAAACGGUGCAUGGGUCUGAUCAAGAAAGGAGCCUCUGUUUUUUUCUUCCCAGAGGGUACACGCACUAAAGAUGGAAACUUAGGUGUAUUCAAGAAAGGAGCUUUCAGCAUUGCUGUGAAGACUAAAGUACCAGUUGUACCAAUUACCCUUAUUGGAACUGGCCAAAUCAUGCCAGCAGGAAGGGAGGGUAUAGUAAACUUAGGUUCCGUGAAAGUUGUUAUACAUAAACCUAUAGAUGGAAAUGAUCCUGACAUGCUAUGCAAAGAAGCUAGGAAUAAAAUCGAAAGUGCGCUAACUCAUGCCUGAAAAAUGUAUUGCAAAAGACGUCUGUAAAUUUCUAUUACAUGAAUAUCGAACCCCUUGUGCCUUGAAACAAAUUGGAAAGUCAUAAGCUCUUUCAGCGAAUUUUGUUUCAUGUUGAAGCACCAGGUGUACUAGCUGUGAGUUUGUAGCUCUUCAGGUGUUGAAGUUAUUUGUUCAAUCUUUGUCUGUCAUAUUGGUUCCUCCACAUUUUUCUUUCAGUACUAUGGAGGAUGGAGGCUGUGAGAUUGUUCAUUACAUCUGCUGCCUCAAAGGGUUGAUUUGCUGUUUUCAUACUUACAUAUCAUAUCAUACAGAAGAAUUAAAUGAGAGUGGAGAUAUGCAAAUUAAAACGGCCUUACUUGUGAAGUCCUUUACCGUUGGCAAGAGAACAUUAAAAAAAAUUAAAACUAAUUUUUAUGUAAAAACUGCUUAGCAGGAUUUUAGUAUAUGAGUGUUUUUUUGUUGAUGGCAUGAUAGGGUUUUUUUCGCCAAAAAUCUGUUUUUGUACAGGUGUUAUUAUUUGUGUUAUCAUGCCAAAGGGAUUAUAGGAUUUUCUAGAAAUUUAAAUUGCUCAAAUUGCUCUUGGUGAUUAAUGUUGAUUAACAAUUUUGUUAGAUUAGAAGAAAUGUACAUAUUUGCUGUUUACAUAUAUAAUUACAUUCAUAUUCUUCAAAUCAU